GUAGCAUAUGAUGAUCAAUUUUUUCCCCGUCAUAUCGACCAUGAUGAUAAAAAUGCAUUUUAAAAGCCAGAACUUUCUGAUGCUGUUUC